rnacentral:rRNA from 1 species
AACGAACGCUGGCGGCAGGCCUAACACAUGCAAGUCGAACGCCCCGCAAGGGGAGUGGCAGACGGGUGAGUAACGCGUGGGAACCUUCCCAAUGGUACGGAAUAGCUCAGGGAAACUUGGGGUAAUACCGUAUAUUCCCGUGAGGGGAAAGAUUUAUCGCCAUUGGACGGGCCCGCGUCGGAUUAGCUAGUUGGUGAGGUAACGGCUCACCAAGGCGACGAUCCGUAGCUGGUUUGAGAGAAUGACCAGCCACACUGGGUCUGAGACACGGCCCAGACUCCUACGGGAGGCAGCAGUGGGGAAUAUUGGACAAUGGGCGCAAGCCUGAUCCAGCCAUGCCGCGUGAGUGACGAAGGCCUUAGGGUUGUAAAGCUCUUUUGCCGGGGAAGAUAAUGACGGUACCCGGAGAAUAAGUCCCGGCUAACUUCGUGCCAGCCGCCGCAGUAA